ACAUCAUGACGAGAGGUGCGAGGGAUCUGGCCCUACGACCACCCGGCAACCUGCCUGCGAGAGGCAAGGUGCUAACGCCAGCCCCGAGAGGGGAGCCCAUGAAGA
rnacentral:ncRNA from 2 species